GCAGUGUGUAUCCUGAAUUACAGAGCUGCCCUGUAAGUACAAGUAACAUAACAAAUAUGGUUGAAGGUGCAGAGCUUAAAAAUGAUAAUCAACAGUGCUUCAUUGUCUAGGAUAUAUCCUGCUCUCUCUAAGCUUUUCUCUUUUUUGCAGGGGGGACAAUAGCCUGAUUAGGGAGAAAGAGAGAGGCAGAUGAUGAUAGGUCAUGGAGGCAGGCAGAUGGACAGAUAAACAGAGGACUGCAGACAGACGCAGACAGAAACUUUUAUGAAUAUAUACACACACUCCACCCCACCCCACCUCGCUAUAUCCUGGACAGCUGUCAGCAGGGACCUGGCCAAAGAAAAGGACCCAUCUGUCGCCUUCCCUCAAAGUGUGCUCGCGUCAUCCUGCAAGCAGACAAAAAAAACACCCGCCGACAAAAUACAACAUUAACACCUGGGCGCAGCAUGGAGGAAGACGAACCGUACCCUGUGUGACGCUUCUGUGGUCGGAACUAGCGACUGUUUGAACUGCUGGAUACAUGUGUGCGUUUGUGUUAGUCAGUGUGUCCGUUGUCUCGACCAUGUCACUAUAAAACGUGUGUCAUUCUGAUGUAGCUGUAAAAACUCCCCUGAGGACUGACCUUUGAAAGCCUUUCUAUCAAGUAGCGAUCAGAUUAAAUAGUCAGACUACUUGUCACACAGGUGUCUAAGAUAAGCUGGUCUUUAUUACUGUCUGGAAAUGAAUUCAAUUUCAAAUCAAUCCCAUUUUUUAUGGAAGGCACUUUACACUUGUGUACCAAGGCUUUCAUUUUAAAACACAUCACUGUAAUGCAACGGUUACGCCUGCUGCCCACUCUACUCCGGAGUUUUUGAGCGCCUGACCGGAGAAGUUUGGAAAUGCUGCUCGUAUGAAAACUCCGGGGCUGCGUAGUAGUAUGGACGUACAUGAAUGGUCACCUGAUAUUGGUGCUCAGGUGUUAGUAUGGAUGAGGUGCUCUUGAUACAGCGCUAAAAUGCUUAUUCAGACGGAAAUUGUUCUAGUUUUAAAACACCUUUUUGAAACAAAAAUGUAUUAGAGAUGAUUAAAAAAGUACUUGGCUAAAU